AAAAAAUAAAACAAAAGUAUACAAACAGGAGAUAAGAGAUGGCAGGGAACAUAGUGGAUGAAUAAAACACCUAACAGGGAAAAUAAAUGGCAGACUUGGAGGAAUAGAGGGUAUAAAGGGGGAAAUAAUUGAAUAAUGUUAACAUUAAAAAAGAUUAGAACUUGCAAUACUCAUAUCAGAUAAUGGCAACUUGAUUCUUCUGUGAUGCUUUUACAUCAGGUUUCUCAACUCUGUGCAUUUCUGCGCAUUAUGUAAUAAUGACAUUGUGAAAAAGGGGCUGAGCAUGGAUGUCAUUAAAGUUAUCCCCACCUGGUAAAAUUUCUGCGGACGCCCAUUGCAGGAAGUAUUGCAGGAGGUACAGCAGGAAGUGGUCACUGGUUUAGGCUUUAGGAGAAAAGGGUAUUACCAGGGCUUGAACUGGUACAGACUGCUAUAUCUAAG